rnacentral:rRNA from 2 species
GCCGAAAAUGUCCGGGGCUAAAACACAACACCGAAGCUUAGGAAUGUAAUUAUACAUUGGUAGAGGAGCAUUCUUAAAGAGACGAAGCAGUACCGAUAAGGAGCUGUGGAUUUUUAAGAAGAGAGAAUGCCGGAAUGAGUAGCGAGAUGGAGGUGGGAAUCCUCCAGGCCGAAUAUCUAAGGUUUCCAGAGUAAAGCUGAUCUGCUCUGGGUAAGUCGGGGCCUAAGGCAAGGUCGAAAGACGUAGUCGAUGGAUAACAGGUUGAAAUUCCUGUACUGCAUAUCAUCAGAACUGUGGGGACACAGAGAGAUACCGGAACCUGGGAAUGAAGAUACCAGGGCAAGCGAGGUAGGUGCUAAGCUGGCAAAUCCGCUUAGUAAGCCGAAGACGUGAUGCGGAGCGAACAAAAGUAGCGAAGUCCGGGAUUCGAGCUGUCGAGAAAAGCCGCUAUUGUGUGAUAUGUACCCGUACCGUAAACCGACACAGGUGGAUGAGGAGAGAAUCCUAAGGUCGGCGGGAGAAGCAUUGUUAAGGAACUCGGCAAAAUGACCCUGUAACUUCGGGAUAAAGGGUGCCACAGAGAUGUGGCCGCAGAGAAUAGGCUCAAGCAACUGUUUAGCAAAAACACAGGUCUAUGCAAAACCGAAAGGUGAGGUAUAUGGGCUGACGCCUGCCCGGUGCUGGAAGGUUACGAGGAGAGGUUAGAGCAAUCGAAGCUUUGAAUCUAAGCCCCAGUAAACGGCGGCCGUAACUAUAACGGUCCUAAGGUAGCGAAAUUCCUUGUC